rnacentral:rRNA from 1 species
UACGUAGGGGGCAAGCGUUGUCCGGAAUCAUUGGGCGUAAAGCGCGUGUAGGCGGCCCGGUAAGUCCGCUGUGAAAGUCGGGGGCUCAACCCUCGGAUGCCGGUGGAUACUGUCGGGCUAGAGUGCGGGAGAGGCGAGUGGAAUUCCUGGUGUAGCGGUGAAAUGCGCAGAUAUCAGGAGGAACACCAAUGGCGAAGGCAGCACUCUGGGACGGUACUGACGCUGAGACGCGAAAGCGUGGGGAGCAAACAGG